rnacentral:pre_miRNA from 1 species
AUUUGUAUCUCCAUUGGGAUUUUGCUAAAAUGCAGAUUCUGAAUCAGCAGGUCAGGGUAGGGCCUGAGAUUCUGCAUUUCUAACAGGCUCCCAGAUGAUGCCUAU